rnacentral:misc_RNA from 1 species
GUCGCUUUCUACCCGAGGAUUUGUUACCGUGCCGGUUUCGAAACGUACUCGUCGGUAUAAAUAGAGACAGACGACGAAUACGAGCGAUAUCGCUGCUCACGAACGCACCCGGGCUUAACGUGGCUCACUUAUGCAACGUUCCUAGCUGUCAUUUCUGCGAGUACGCGGCGUACUCGUGUGAUUUUACCGCUACCAUUUUCCUGCCCUUUAGGAACCGACCGAGCAUCCACCGCAGGAGCUUCGACGUUGAUCGACAUGGUUACGAUUUCGUUCAACAGUCCCUGAACGGUCGGCGGUGUGACGUGCAGCGGUGUGUACACGUCCUCGGACUCCUGGCGGACGUACAGCAUCACUCGUUCCUCGGCGUCUGCUGGACGUAGAUGGGGCGGUUGCUGUUGCAGAUGUAGUCUAUUCCCGACCCCGGAUACCACCGUUCCGGCGAGACCUGCUUGCUGCACUCCCUGCAGCACCGAGCCUUGAAGCUCCUGCACCUGCAUCAGCAAGGAGUCCUUCUUGUCGUGCAGGCUAGUUAGAUUGUCGGGCGGAAAGUGGUUGUGGAACUUGAGGGCUGGCAAGCUUGGUCUGCCGCAGGCAGGAUAAGGGCUGCUGCCCCCUGCCUUCAAUCCUCCGCCCUCGCCAUUACUCAGGGACGAUGUGUCUGUAUCGCCACCGCCCCCGCCGCCACCUCCAUAGAAGCCCGACAACUCCAUCGUAGAGAACUGUCGUGGAACAAGAAACAUAUUGUACAUUUUUUCUAUUUCUUUUCGAACGAGCUACUUUCCGUGAUACGAGCUACACUGAGAGACAAAAGUAUCUAUUCUAUAUCAUUAAAUAAAUUGAAUUACAUGUAACUGUAUAUUACGAAAUUUAUAGUAACAAAUGUACACAAAGAAAUGUAAAUUAAAUUAUUUGCUAAAUUCUGACAAGAGAAGAUUCACAUAGUGGUAACAUUUUGAUGUUAGAAUAGAGCUAUUUGUAUAGUACUAGUAAUUAAUGUCCAUUAAUAUUAUAGUUAACCCUCCGUGGAUUUUUGUUUAUGACAAACAAUUAACUACAAUAUAUUGGGUAUGGAUAAUAUAUUAAUUUUGUAAAGAAAUCUGUUUCUAUAUCUCUGCAGUCCUUUUUCAACAUAUUUUUUCAACAUAUUUCUUUGAUGUUAUUUGGUAUCUGCGGAUUAACUUUUGUCUUUGUAUACGUUUAUUACUGUAAGUGUCUGUGUACCAUAUACAGUUACAGAUAUUGAAAUUUAAUAAUAUAGAAAAUAUUUGUUUUAUUUCUACAUUUCAAUCGUGUACAAAUAAUUUUAUCUUUCACUAUAAAUUGUCACAUUGUCUAUAUUGUAUCCAUCAUUUUCGUAAAGCAAG